CCAUGGACUAAUGAUCUACGGCCAGAGCUAUGGAGUGUGACAAUGGUGUUUGUGUCCAAUCUAUCAAACGCCAUUAUCACACUAAAUAGCUACUGGUAGAUGAGACAUCAAUUUGGAA
rnacentral:pre_miRNA from 7 species